rnacentral:rRNA from 1 species
AUGCUCAAAAUAGAUUUGGCUAAAGCUUUCGACAGGUUAGAAUGGCACUUCAUCACCUCGGCUUUACAAUGUAAAGGGUUGCAUGGCCAUUUCAUAAAGCUUAUCCAUGCCUGUAUCCCCUCGCCGACUUUUUCUGUUAACAUAAAUGGACAAUCUUUUGCGCACUUUAAAAGUAGUCGAGGUAUCGGCCAGGGGUGUCCCCUCUCUCCUUUGCUAUUUGUGCUUGUAGUGAAUGAACUAUCGUUGGCACUUCAGGAUACACUUCAAUCCAACCACCUGGCAGGUAUCUCACUUGGACCGGGAUGCCCUCCUAUCCACUCUUUAAUGUUUGCCAAUGAUUUGUUGGUUUGUGGAAAAGCUAAUGUACAGGAGGCAUCUACUAUCUCCAGUAUUUUACAUCAGUUUUGU